CAGCCGCCGCGGUAAUACGAAGGGGGCUAGCGUUGCUCGGAUUUACUGGGCGUAAAGGGCGCGUAGGCGGACAGUUAAGUUGGGGGUGAAAGCCCGGGGCUCAACCUCGGAAUUGCCUUCAAUACUGGUUGUCUUGAGUGUGAGAGAGGUGUGUGGAACUCCGAGUGUAGAGGUGAAAUUCGUAGAUAUUCGGAAGAACACCAGUGGCGAAGGCGACACACUGGCUCACUACUGACGCUGAGGCGCGAAAGCGUGGGGAGCAAACAGGAUUAGAUACCCCGGUAGUCCCUGUCUCUUAUAC
rnacentral:rRNA from 1 species